CAGUAGCCGCGGUAAUACGGAGGGUGCGAGCGUUGUCCGGAUUUAUUGGGUUUAAAGGGUGCGUAGGUGGCUUUUUAAGUCAGUGGUGAAAUACGGUUGCUCAACAAUCGAGGUGCCAUUGAUACUGAAGAGCUUGAAAUAAUUGGAGGCUGCCGGAAUGGAUGGUGUAGCGGUGAAAUGCAUAGAUAUCAUCCAGAACACCGAUUGCGAAGGCAGGUGGCUACGAUUUGUUUGACACUGAGGCACGAAAGCAUGGGGAGCAAACAGGAUUAGAUACCCGAGUAGUCCCUGUCUCUUAUAC
rnacentral:rRNA from 1 species